rnacentral:sRNA from 1 species
UAGAGGCGGCAGAGUCAGGAACGGAGCCAAGGAGGCGGAGGCGGGAGGCGGGAGGGAAACCAGCA